UGUUUCUCUGCUCAUGAUUGUCAAAAUUCAAUUUAAUGCACAAUAUUAGUCCUUGACCUUAUUUAUUUACUCCAUAUUAAUACAGAUUCAUGCGCCCAAAUAAUGCUUCAGCUCAAUGGUCUUUAUGAUUGAAACAAGAUACAAAUGAAGAUCAAAGUCAGUUGAAGAUGAUACUGAAUUGUUAUAUAUUUAGUUAUUAAUAUUUGUGAUGUUGUGAUAUUAUUGUAUUUGAUAGUUGGGAUAUGAUUGAUUACAUUUUUUUUUGUAUUCCUUAUAGUUAUUUCACAUAUAUUCCUUUGAACUAGCUUCCAAA